GGCUCCGCAUAUCUGUUGUCACCUAUCGUGGUAAAUACGGCGUGGAUAGAGCACGGAAAAGCUGUGUAUAACACAGAACAGUGGGGUCACCGCUGCCCGUUGGCAUGGGCAGUGGGGAUAAGUGGGCCCAUACGUAUGGGCCCCACCUCAUGAACGGCUCUUAAAGUAGUACAGGGACUAAAGACCCCUGGGCGAAACAGAGGCCUCUGCCUCGGACAUGUCUACCAACUGCCUUGACCGGGGUUGGUCUUGUCUGAGCGCGGCAGAGCCCAUCCACAAGCGCACGAUGGACUUCAGACCUAUCAGCUAGACGGUAGGGUAUUGGCCUACCGUGGCGAUGACGGGUACAGAGGAUUAGGGUUUGAUCCUGGAGAGGUAGCCUGAGAAAUCGCUCCCACUUCUAAGGAAGGCAGCAGGCGCGUAACGUUCCCAAUGCUAGUACCCCUAGUGAAGGCGUAAUGGGACAUAACAAUACCCCUUAUUGUUAGUGGGUAAUGACAAUGGGCGGCAU
rnacentral:rRNA from 1 species